rnacentral:rRNA from 1 species
UACAGAGGGUGCUAGCGUUGUUCGGAAUCAUUGGGCGUAAAGGGCGUGUAGGCGGUUUGUUAAGUCAUGUGUGAAAUCCCUCGGCUCAACCGGGGAACGACGCAUGAAACUGGCAAGCUAGAGUACCAAAGAGGGGGGUGGAAUUCCCGGUGUAGCGGUGAAAUGCGUAGAGAUCGGGAGGAACACCGGCGGCGAAGGCGGCUGCCUGGACCAGUCCUGACGCUGAGGCGCGAAAGCUAGGGGAGCAAACAGG